rnacentral:rRNA from 1 species
CAGUCGCCGCGGGAAUACGGAGGAUCCAAGCGUUAUCCGGAAUCAUUGGGUUUAAAGGGUCCGUAGGCGGUCUUGUAAGUCAGUGGUGAAAGCCCAUCGCUCAACGGUGGAACGGCCAUUGAUACUGCAGGACUUGAAUUAUUGGGAAGUAACUAGAAUAUGUAGUGUAGCGGUGAAAUGCUUAGAGAUUACAUGGAAUACCAAUUGCGAAGGCAGGUUACUACCAAUUGAUUGACGCUGAUGGACGAAAGCGUGGGUAGCGAACAGGAUUAGAUACCCGUGUAGUCCCUGUCUCUUAUAA